GUUAACUCGGGCGAUGGCGUCCGCCCGGGCUUCGAGCCCGAACCGCCCGCAAAGGGCUGAUGACGCCUGUUCUAAC
rfam:Thermococcus paralvinellae strain ES1 chromosome, complete genome.